UGCGCAGGCGGUUAUGUAAGACAGAUGUGAAAUCCCCGGGCUCAACCUGGGAACUGCAUUUGUGACUGCAUGGCUAGAGUACGGUAGAGGGGGAUGGAAUUCCGCGUGUAGCAGUGAAAUGCGUAGAUAUGCGGAGGAACACCGAUGGCGAAGGCAACUCCCCUGGACCUGUACCGACGCUCAUGCACGAAAGCGUGGGGAGACAAACA
rnacentral:rRNA from 1 species